AACCCGUGGUGAGGGCAUCUUCUCAAGAGGUCAUUUUAUCUCUCCCAUGCAACGUAGAGUGUUUCUAAAUCCAUCUGCACAAAGGAAAAAAUAUCACUAUUUAGCUU
rfam:Gossypium arboreum cultivar AKA8401 contig_7770_11, whole genome shotgun sequence.